AAAUAUAUUCGGGGCCAAUACAAACCAUUGUGUGGAAAUCUAUUCACAAACCGGACUUUACAUAGGACACGAGGUCAUGCGUUUAGACUGGAAGAAAGAAGAUUUAGUCUAAGGCAAAGCAAAGGUUUUUUUACUGUAAGAACAAUCAGGAUGUGGAAUUCUCUGCCGGAAGAAGUGGUUUUAUCAGAGUUCAUACAGAUGUUCAAACAGCUACUAGAUGC